rnacentral:rRNA from 1 species
GUCCACGCCGUAAACGAUGGAUACUAGCUGUUGGGGGCAACUUCAGUGGCUAAGCGAAAGUGAUAAGUAUCCCACCUGGGGAGUACGUUCGCAAGAAUGAAACUCAAAGGAAUUGACGGGGGCCCGCACAAGCGGUGGAGCAUGUGGUUUAAUUCGAUGAUACGCGAGGAACCUUACCAAGGCUUAAAUGUAGAUUGACAGGACUGGAAACAGUUUUUUCUUCGGACAAUUUACAAGGUGCUGCAUGGUUGUCGU